rnacentral:lncRNA from 10 species
AAAAAUUGUCUUUGAUGACUAAAAUUAACAGAAUAAACUCAUAGGAUAAGUCAAAUCAUCUUCUCAGACUAUGGUUUUUUUUUUUUUUGAAGUGAAAAAAAAAACUCUUCAAAAACUUCUCCUAGAGCAAGAAAAACUUCCAAAAUCUGAGAGAAAUGACAGAUCAGGCGAUUCUGAGGUGAAAUUAAGGAUGAAAAUCAUAUGAAAGAGGAAAAGGUCAGAGAAAAGAAGCAAGAGUAGGGAAAUAAAAGGCAAAAGAAAAUCACAGAAAGAGGCAGAACAAAGGCCAUCUUCACUUUGCACUUAACUCAGCUUCCUUUGCAACUCUGUCAGUGGAAGACAAGUUGGGGUAGACAGGGUACAAGGACAGCAUGGAAGAAAGAAAAAAAUGCAUCCCAUUUUUUGUUAUUUUCUCAACAGUCUCUGAAAGAAAAGAAAAAGAAGUGUAGCUCUCUGUAUCCGACAAAAUGGCGCAUAAUCAUCUGUGAAAAUUGGAGGUGAUGAUACAUCUAACAGACAAAAUAAAUUACUGUGACAAGAAAAAGCCCAGGUUUACUGAAGAAUCAAGCAAACUCUUAUCCAAUAACACUCAGAGUGUGCUCCUCUUACUUAUAAAAAAAAUAGUGAACUGUAAAACAGCCUCAGGCAUGUCCUUCAGGAGGAUUCCAGAAUAAGGCAUUGUUAUCAUAGGAGAUGACAGUUCCAUGCAUGUUAUUGCCCCUGAAGACUUUCCAGUGGGACAAGAUGUGGAGAUGAAGACAGUGAUACUGAUGGUCCUGACCCUGUGUAGGCCUUGGGUCUGCAUGCUUCUCAAAUUGAGCUGUAACACUCACUGCUGCGGUCCAAGCCUUCAUUCUUUGAAGCCCGUGGAACCACAAACUCUUCAAUUGAUAAAAACCUUCGAUCGGAAGAGACUUCUCAUCUCAUUUCUGGGGGCCUGUCCGGGAUUUCUCUGAAGUGAAUAGAAUCCAUGAAACUGCAAGUGGUUCUACAAAUGGAGCCCCAAAUGACCACCACUAGCACCUACUAUCGAGGACCCCUAGACUGACCUACCAACCUGUUCUAACACCACGACACUGAAGAAGACUCCCCUCCUGAGGAACCCUCAACUGCAGAUCCCCUUCUGUGCCCCAGUUCAGCAGGAAGUAGCUAGAAUGAUCAUUGCCCAACUUCUCAACAGCACUUGGGCUUUCCUGUUGAGAGGGGGUACUGAGGCACUAAGUGGCUAAGUUAGCUAGACUUCCUGGGUCAACAGGGACUUCCCUAAGGGGACAUUCCUCUAAGCCAAAAUGAGUCAUAGCUGCAAGCUAAGGGAUUGAAACUUCAACCAAUCAAAGGGGACUUUCUCCUAAGCAAAAAUGAGUCACUGCUGCAAACUAAGUGAUUGAAACUUCACCCAAUCAUAUAGGGAGUUUAAGCUUUAGCUGCAGCCUGAUGUUUUUAACCAAUCAGGCCUGCCAACCCACAAGCAGAUAGAAAAUAAGCUAAUCCUAUGGGACAGAAAAAGGAAAAGGGGAGGAGUCAUAAGAGGAUAUAAGCAUAAGACACCCAAGCCAGAAACGGAAACCCUUCCGGGUCUCCUUCCACCACGUGGAAGCUUUACUUUUGCUUUUACUUUACUUUCACUUUAAUAAACCUUGGCGCUGCACACUCUUUGGGUCUGUACGUUUCUCUAAUUGAGCUGUAACACUCGCCGCUGUGGUCCACGGCUUCAUUCCUUGAAGCCUGUGAGACCACGAACCCUUCAAUUGAGAAAAACCUUCAAUCAGAAGAAGACUUCUUGUCUCAAUAUCACUUCCUUCGAAAACAUAAUUCAAGAGUUAUUCACAUCAUAGUUAUUUUUCACUCCCCGCUAAUAGCAGGAGUCACUUCCAAUAUACUAGAAUUUCAAAAAGGAACUGUAACUUAUAGUUUACAGUCAGUGUUUGUUUGAAAUGUAAAGCCUGACCAUUCAACUGCCAUGAUUGAAGCACUCUGAAAGACUUCCAUGGCCUUAGGAUAAAGUUCAUCCUCCUUUACAAGGAGCACAAGACCCUUAGAAUUCCAGACCCUGAUUUAGUCUUCAUCUUAUACGAAUGCUGCCCGGCAUGCUUCAUUUAGUUCUGCAAUAAACAGAGCAUACAGCAUGGUUGUGGAUCUCACUAGAGACCCAAAGAAAACAUCCCACAGGAAAUGAUGAAAAAUAAUAAGAGCAUUAUAUGUAUUGGAGCGUGGACCAGGCAGUUGAAGUGGAAAACACAGGGGAGGGAGCCGUAAAGACUUAAAAAUGAUGUCCAGUUCCCACCUCCCAGACCUAUUGAAUGUGAAUAUC